CCUACGGGAGGCAGCAGUGAGGAAUAUUGGUCAAUGGGCGGGAGCCUGAACCAGCCAAGUCGCGUGAGGGAAGACGGUCCUAUGGAUUGUAAACCUCUUUAGGCGGGGAGCAAUGCCGGGCACGCGUGCCCGGAGGGAGAGUACCCGCAGAAUAAGCAUCGGCUAACUCCGUGCCAGCAGCCGCGGUAAUACGGGGGAUGCGAGCGUUAUCCGGAUUUAUGGGGUUUAAAGGGUGCGUAGGCGGAUUUUUAAGUCAGCGGUAAAAUGUCCGGGCUCAACCCGGGCCGGCCGUUGAAACUGGGGAGCUUGAGUGGGCGAGAAGUAUGCGGAAUGCGUGGUGUAGCGGUGAAAUGCAUAGAUAUUGCGCAGAACUCCGAUUGCGAAGGCAGCAUACCGGCGGCGAUCUGACGCUGAGGCACGAAAGCGUGGGUAUCGAACAGGAUUAGAUACCCCAGUAGUC
rnacentral:rRNA from 1 species